rnacentral:rRNA from 1 species
UACAGAGGUCUCAAGCGUUGUUCGGAUUCAUUGGGCGUAAAGGGUGCGUAGGUGGCAGGGUAAGUCGGAUGUGAAAUCCCGGGGCUCAACCUCGGAACUGCAUUCGAUACUGCUUUGCUUGAGUACUGGAGAGGAGAUUGGAAUUUACGGUGUAGCAGUGAAAUGCGUAGAUAUCGUAAGGAAGACCAGUGGCGAAGGCGGAUCUCUGGACAGUUACCGACACUGAGGCACGAAGGCCAGGGGAGCAAACGGG